rnacentral:rRNA from 1 species
GACGAACGCUGGCGGCGUGCCUAAUACAUGCAAGUAGAACGCACAGUUUAUACCGUAGCUUGCUACACCAUAGACUGUGAGUUGCGAACGGGUGAGUAACGCGUAGGUAACCUGCCUGGUAGCGGGGGAUAACUAUUGGAAACGAUAGCUAAUACCGCAUAAUAUUAAUUAUUGCAUGAUAAUUGAUUGAAAGAUGCAACUGCAUCACUACCAGCUGGACCUGCGUUGUAUUAGCUAGUAGGUGAGGUAACGGCUCACCUAGGCGACGAUACAUAGCCGACCUGGGGAGGUGGACGGCCAACCUGGGAAUGGGACAAGGCCCAGAAUCCCAAGGGGGGGAGGAGGAGGGAAUCUUCGGGAAAGGACGGAAGGCUGAACGAAGAACGCCGCGUGGGGGAAGAAGGGUUUCGGAUCGGAAAGCUCUGUUGUAAGAGAAGAACGGGUGUGAGAGUGGAAAGUUCACACUGUGACGGUAUCUUACCAGAAAGGGACGGCUAACUACGUG